UAAAUUAUUUUCAAGAGGCACAGGCACACGUAGGCCUACAUCACUACACUUCCACGUUGUCACAGUUCGCAUUGUUGCGCGAAAUUCUCAGGUUUCCAGAUCCAUGGAAACCGCGGGGGAGCUAGGCACAAUAAUGCACUCAUUACGCACCACGUCAUUUGGCUGCUACUUGCUAUUGUGGUGUUGUAAAGCCUAUCAAAACAUGUCAAAAUACAAAGAGGGUGCCCUGUUCGAAUUAAACAUGCGAAGAGAAACGUGGUGUCGAGUAGAGAUUGACAGCAAGUUUUGGGAAAGAGCAGAGAAGAGACAUUUUGACUGUCAUUUGCAAAACACCUGCGACUUCAAAUCGCUCCAGGCAGUGACUCCGGAGCAACGGUCUGCUUGGACAGCUGCAGGACAUGUUACCAAAUACCCAGAGCGAAAACAUUUCGAAGAAAGCCACAAGGCCCACCUGGUAUAAUGAAGCAGAGGAACCCUUCAGCACCAAGUGGAAUAUUUCUGAAAUAAAUGGCACUUAAAUUAUACAUAGAAGUGUCCAUCACAAUGCAAAAACA